rnacentral:miRNA from 10 species
CUGCUGCGGGGAUGCCAGCUGCAGUGGGGGAGGUGCAGUCAGGGCUGUUCACUUCAUGGAGCUGGCAGGGGCUGGGAACAGG